UUGAGGAAAGGCCUUAACUACAUCAUUGCGCUGACUGCUUGGGCAAUUUGGAAGCAUCGCAACGCGGCCAUCUUUGACGGCCUACGCCCCUCCACUGAAGACCUGAUCAAGAGCAUCAAGGACGAUGCCCGCCUUUGGGCCAAGGCGGGCGCCACCGGGAUAGAUAGCAUCUUACCUGUAGCCUGA
rnacentral:rRNA from 1 species